UGGGCUGUCGCCAAGUGGUAAGGCAACGGACUCUGACUCCGUCAUCGAAGGUUCGAAUCCUUCCAGCCUAG
rnacentral:tRNA from 1 species